rnacentral:lncRNA from 1 species
GUCAGAGCAGAGCUGCAGGCCGCCCUUCCGUCAGCAGGAAGCCCAGCCACAAACACUUGGACAGGAAGCCUGUGUGCUGGCCAGCUGAGCCAGCUCUGGUUUCUCCUGCGUCUGAGGGUUUGGCCCAGGGUAGAGGAAGGCGAGCCAGGUGCUGCGGGCUGCACUGACAGGACCACGAACUCCCCCUUGGGCUGGGGAUGUGGGUUCAAGGGUGUGAGCGGAAAAGCAUCAUCCAGGCUGGAGCAAGGAGGCACUUCCUGGAGGAAGGGCGAGGAGCAGGGACUACGGUGUUUACCGGGCUGGGCCAGCAAGACCCCUUUGUGAUGGUUAAAUUGUGCCCAGAUAAAAUGUGCCCAGUCCCCCAGUGCAAACCCAGGCUGCCUCCACCUCAGGGAACAUACUCUCCAGUCUCGUGGGGUGGGAUGCCCGCACAAUCCCAGCUUGAAGGAUGACUCCUUUCAAGAGAACUGUCCCAUUAGAGAAUGACUGAAAAACAGUGAGUUCAGCCGGGACAAAGGCGAUUUUGCAUGCAGGGCUCAUUCUAGGUGUGAUUAUCCUUAAGACAGUUUAUGUACCUACAUCAGCCACUGACACCCCCAGGAUUAUAGAGCAUUUGAACUUCUUCACAAAGACUUUUGGGUAUUUCCCCUCACCUUGGCAUCUUGCAACCUGAUAGACCAGUUAGAGAUGGCCAGUGUCAGGGCCCAGGUAAGUAGCUUGGCCCAGCUCAGCAGUGGCAGAGCCCAGGUCAUACUGUGACUUCUGUUGGUCUAGAAAGAGAACCAAAUGGUUUCUUUCCAGGCAUGUGGGCAUCUUUUAUUGUGCAGGCUGCCUGGGGGAUGAGCCCUGGGCUGGGAUCUGCUGCUAAUAGACUGUUCGGGUGUCGAAGCCCAUUCUGAAAGCCUCCUGGGACAUCCUGCCGGGGGCUCUAGUCACUCCUCCGCAUUCUCACAUCUUCAUUUAUACCUAAUAAUCCAGAGUUGAUUGUGGUCUGUGGCCUCUGUGGUUCUGACUCUAGGCCAGGGCUCAGCAACUUUUUCUAUAAAGGGCUGGGUAGUAAAUAUCUUAAGCUUUGUGGGAAAACGGUCUCAGU